rnacentral:snoRNA from 1 species
AAGACUUGACUUUUAGGGAUCAUUUUUAUAGUUCAUUUCUAGAGAAGUUUCUCUGAUUUGGUCAAGUACUGGAAACCACAAGGAGAAGGCAUAUUGUUCUCUCUUGGUGUUGCUUUUCUGAAACUUUUAUUUGCCAUUUAUGAUCAUUCUUCCUCUUCCUUGGGGAGAGUUAGAGGGAGAACACGCAGUCGGAAGGGA